GGUAGCAUGGCCGAGCGGUCUAAGCCGCUGGUUUAAGGCACCAGUCAUUUCGAUGGCGUGGGUUCGAAUCCCACUGCUGCCA
rfam:Ciona savignyi cont_36296, whole genome shotgun sequence.